CAGCGUUUGACCUUUUGGGAUCUUGUGGUGAGGACCUUAAAAAUAGGAUCCUAAUGCAUCAGGAAAUUCAUGAGAACCCCUACCUCUCCACCUGCUUCUCUUUUCCAAACAUGCUUUCAUUCUCUAGACAUCCCUUCUCCAAGUGAGAAUUUCAUAGCUUUUAGCAAAUGCAUUGAUUGUUGGAAAGGACAAGCAGAUUAACAUUUGAUGGGAACAGGUCCUUGUCUCCUCAUUUGUAGACAACCCUAACACUUGCUCUGAUAUUAGUGCUGAUUACUACCCUGAAUGUAGUGUUUUGUUUCUCUUCAAAUAGUGCUGGCACUGAGUCGGGAUUUGUGUGUGUGUUUAGAUGCCAGUCUCCUCGUGGGUCUGAAUUACCACCUUCACCCCACUCCCAUCCCACCCCCAGUUUUCUCUACUAACCUAUUUUUCUUUUUCUUUUUUAGACCAAUGAUGCGAGCUCAGAGUCAAUAGCAUCCUUCUCUAAACAGGAGGUCAUGAGUAGCUUUCUGCCAGAGGGAGGGUGUUACGAGCUGCUCACUGUGAUAGGCAAAGGAUUUGAGGACCUGAUGACUGUGAAUCUAGCAAGGUACAAACCAACAGGAGAGUACGUGACUGUACGG
rnacentral:lncRNA from 1 species